UGUAAACAGAAAGAACAAUGAAACAAAACUGAAUUGUGUGUAAUUAUAAUGAAUCAAUCUCAGUCGUGGAGGAGAGAUGAGGGAAUGCACCUCCCUCCUUUCGUUGGAGAAGUGGGGGACUAAGAGAGCCCUUGGAGCAUCUGAAGACAGCCAUCAUGGCCACCCUCUAAGCCCUCUCUUCUCCAAGCUCAACACCGCCAAGCUCUCUGAGCUACCAGCCCCAUAUGACAUGGUUUUCAGGCUGAGCAUGGACAGCUCCUUCACUGGUUGCUGAGGUGACCUUCUUCUAAGCACCAGCUCUGGGCAUCCUUCUCUGGCUGCCUUCAGGCAUCGUCAGUGUCUCUACUGAAAUGUGCGCCCGUGGCAUCUAAUCUGACCCUUAGAUCUUCGAGAAGAGUGGACAGUGGGAUGAUGCAGCCAAAAGAGCUGGAGGCAUCUUGGCUUGCAUUGAGAGGGAUGUGGCUUCCAAGAAUAAGGAAAUGUUAGUUCCCCUCCCCUCUGGCCUUGUCAGCCAACAUCUGGAGUCCUGUGUUCAGUUCUUGGCACCACAGUUUAAGAAGGAUAUCGAUCAGCUGGCAAGUUUCUCAAGGAAGGCAACCAGAUUGAUAGUGAGAGGCUUUGAGGUCUUGUCAUAUGGGGAAUGUGUGAAGGAAGUGAGCGUGUUUGGGCUGGAAAAGAAAAGAUUCAGGGGAAAUAUGAUAAUGGUUUUCAAGGAUCUGAAGGAGUGAGAAGGGGAAAGAAGGAUCCAACUUGUCUGUUCACAGAGGAGCAAUGGGUACAAAUGGGAAAGAGGCAAAUUGAAGCUUGACAUCAGGAAAAACCUUGGAAUAACUGGAGCUGUUCCAAAACAGAAUGGGCUGCCUGAGAGAUGGUGAGUUCUCCCUCCUUGGAAACCUUCAAGCAGAAGCUGUAUGACCACUCCUUU